UACGGGGGGGGCAAGCGUUGUUCGGAAUUACUGGGCGUAAAGGGCUCGUAGGUGGCCAACUAAGUCAGACGUGAAAUCCCCAGGCUUAACCUGGGAACUGCAUCCGAUACUGGAUGGCUUGAAUCCGGGAGAGGGAUGCAGAAUUCCAGGUGUAGCGGUGAAAUGCGUAGAUAUCUGGAGGAAUACCGGUGGCGAAGGCGGCAUCCUGGACCGGCAUUGACGCUGAGUGAGCGAAAGCCAGGGGAGCAAACGGG
rnacentral:rRNA from 1 species